GUAAGGGGUCAAUAAAUAUCUACUCUGAGGUGUUAUUGUUGGCCCCUUUAACCACGGUGUGUUUUUUGUAAGGGGGUCAAUAAAUAUCUACUCUGAGGUGUUAUUGUUGGCCCCUUUAACCACAGUGUGUUUUUUGUAAGGGGGUCAAUAAAUAUCUACUCUGAGGUGUUAUUGUUGGCCCCUUUAACCACGGUGUGUUUUUUGUAAGGGGGUCAAUAAAUAUCUACCCUGAGGUGUUAUUGUUGGCCCCUUUAACCACGGUGUGUUUUUUGUAAGGGGGUCAAUAAAUAUCUACUCUGAGGUGUUAUUGUUGGUUACAAAUCUCACCCCUCACUUGUUGCUGCUGUUUCACAGGGAGGUCGAUCGCACCGAAGAAGGUUAAAGUGGUACAGCAACAGCAGUUGAAGAAGGGCCUGGAGGUGGCGAUCAGGAACAAGAUAGAGGAAGAGGUGACUCACCGAGCCAGUACGAAACUCCACAAGAGACUGAGUAUUGUGAAGGGGGCGGAGGUGAAACCAACCCCCUCUAAAGGAAACAACCAUCCCAACCACCCUGCACCCAGCACCUCCAAAUAAACUCUGUUAUUCUGUCUGUCUGCUCUGACUGCUUUCGCUGUGCUAGAUAGAA